GUGAAGCCCAGCUUGCUGGGUGGAUCAGUGGCGAACGGGUGAGUAACACGUGAGCAACCUGCCCUCCACUUCGGGAUAAGCCUUGGAAACGGGGACUAAUACCGGAUAUGAGCUCGCAUCGCAUGGUGUGGGUUGGAAAGUUUUUCGGUGGGGGAUGGGCUCGCGGCCUAUCAGCUUGUUGGUGGGGUGAUGGCCUACCAAGGCGUCGACGGGUAGCCGGCCUGAGAGGGCGACCGGCCACACUGGGACUGAGACACGGCCCAGACUCCUACGGGAGGCAGCAGUGGGGAAUAUUGCACAAUGGGCGCAAGCCUGAUGCGGCGACGCCGCGUGAGGGAUGACGGCCUUCGGGUUGUAAACCUCUUUCAGCAGGGAAGAAGCGCAAGUGACGGUACCUGCAGAAGAAGCGCCGGCUAACUACGUGCCAGCAGCCGCGGUAAUACGUAGGGCGCAAGCGUUGUCCGGAAUUAUUGGGCGUAAAGAGCUCGUAGGCGGUCUGUCGCGUCUGGUGUGAAAUCCCGAGGCUCAACCUCGGGCUUGCAUCGGGUACGGGCAGACUAGAGUGCGGUAGGGGAGACUGGAAUUCCUGGUGUAGCGGUGGAAUGCGCAGAUAUCAGGAGGAACACCGAUGGCGAAGGCAGGUCUCUGGGCCGCAACUGACGCUGAGGAGCGAAAGCAUGGGGAGCGAACAGGAUUAGAUACCCUGGUAGUCCAUGCCGUAAACGUUGGGCACUAGGUGUGGGGCUCAUUCCACGAGUUCCGUGCCGCAGCUAACGCAUUAAGUGCCCCGCCUGGGGAGUACGGCCGCAAGGCUAAAACUCAAAGGAAUUGACGGGGGCCCGCACAAGCGGCGGAGCAUGCGGAUUAAUUCGAUGCAACGCGAAGAACCUUACCAAGGCUUGACAUGUACGAGAAAGCCCCCGAGACGGGGUUCUCUUUGGACACUCGUACACAGGUGGUGCAUGGUUGUCGUCAGCUCGUGUCGUGAGAUGUUGGGUUAAGUCCCGCAACGAGCGCAACCCUCGUCCUAUGUUGCCAGCGGGUUAUGCCGGGGACUCAUGGGAGACUGCCGGGGUCAACUCGGAGGAAGGUGGGGAUGACGUCAAAUCAUCAUGCCCCUUAUGUCUUGGGCUUCACGCAUGCUACAAUGGCCGGUACAGAGGGCUGCGAUACCGUAAGGUGGAGCGAAUCCCAAAAAGCCGGUCUCAGUUCGGAUUGGGGUCUGCAACUCGACCCCA
rnacentral:rRNA from 1 species